GGGCCCGCACAAGCGGUGGAGCAUGUGGUUUAAUUCGAUGCAACGCGAAGAACCUUACCUGGUCUUGACAUACACAGAAUCUUGUAGAGAUACGAGAGUGCCUUCGGGAAUUGUGAUACAGGUGCUGCAUGGCUGUCGUCAGCUCGUGUCGUGAGAUGUUGGGUUAAGUCCCGCAACGAGCGCAACCCUUGUCCUUAGUUACCAGCACUUCGGGUGGGAACUCUAAGGAUACUGCCAGUGACAAACUGGAGGAAGGCGGGGACGACGUCAAGUCAUCAUGGCCCUUACGACCAGGGCUACACACGUGCUACAAUGGUGGUGACAAUGGGACGCAAUAGGGUGACCUGGAGCAAAUCCCAAAAAGCCAUCUCAGUUCGGAUUGCACUCUGCAACUCGAGUGCAUGAAGUUGGAAUCGCUAGUAAUCG
rnacentral:rRNA from 1 species